CCUGCGUGGGCUCAGCCUGCGGCCUCAGAGGGGCCGGGCCCUGGCGGGAGGUGGGCUGCUUCCGCCUCUCCAGCAUCCCCGUCCCCACUUUGCAAACGACACCCUGUUGGUGUCCGGGGAACCACUGCCGCGCACCUGCUCCGCGUCUUAGAGAAACUGUCCAUCAAGAUGCCCCACCCCCUGGGCAAGGGGCGGGGCCCAUACCCGAAGCGAGGCCCAUCAGAUGCGCUCCUGAGCUCACCCAUCCCGGCAGGGGGACUGGAGGUGGUCCUUCUGCCUGGCCCGGGGCCUUCCCACCCCCCUGACUUCCUGCGGCGAAGGGAUGGGGCCAGGGACACCCCCAAAACAUCCAGGAGGCUUAGAAUUCCUGCAAUUCCAGCCAGAGGGUCUGUGCCGGGAACAGAUGCUACGAGCGUUAACACGCCUCCCAUCCUGGUACACAGAGUGCAAAACAUGAACAUCUCCUGGCCUUUGCCCGCGGGCCUGCAGGAGGCUGUGAGCUCCUCUCCGAGAGACAGCGCGGGGACAGAGAGCCUGGGGACAGCUGCCAGGGGCCAGCAGCAAGUGAGAGAGGAUGGGGGGCAGGGCACACACUGACCUUGCCAGCUACUAUUCUGUCACGGCACAGGGUGCUUCCCUGGGAAUGACCGUCUAACUUUGAGCAAAAUACUUGCCCACUGCCUGCUUGGGCCUCUGUGUGGUCAAGUUCAAUGCUUGAAAAGGUUUGUGUACCUUUUCAAAUGUCAUAUGCCAAUAAAAGUGGUUAUUUCAAAAUAA